UACGGGGGGGGCAAGCGUUGUUCGGAAUUACUGGGCGUAAAGGGCUCGUAGGCGGCCAACUAAGUCAGACGUGAAAUCCCUCGGCUUAACCGAGGAACUGCGUCCGAUACUGGUGGGCUUGAAUCCGGGAGAGGGAUGUGGAAUUCCAGGUGUAGCGGUGAAAUGCGUAGAUAUCUGGAGGAACACCGGUGGCGAAGGCGGCAUCCUGGACCAACACUGACACUGAGGAGCGAAAGCCAGGGGAGCAAACGGG
rnacentral:rRNA from 1 species